UACGUAGGGUGCAAGCGUUGUCCGGAAUUAUUGGGCGUAAAGCGCGCGCAGGCGGUUUCUUAAGUCUGAUGUGAAAGCCCACGGCUCAACCGUGGAGGGUCAUUGGAAACUGGGGAACUUGAGUGCAGAAGAGAAAAGCGGAAUUCCACGUGUAGCGGUGAAAUGCGUAGAGAUGUGGAGGAACACCAGUGGCGAAGGCGGCUUUUUGGUCUGUAACUGACGCUGAGGCGCGAAAGCGUGGGGAGCAAACAGG
rnacentral:rRNA from 1 species